GACGAAGGAUGCAAGCGUUAUCCGGAUUCAUUGGGCUUAAAGGGAGCGUAGGCGGAUUGGUAAGUCAGUGGUGAAAUCUUUGGGCUUAACUCAGAAACUGCCAUUGAUACUGCUGAUCUAGAGUACAGUUGCCGUUGGCGGAAUAUGACAUGUAGUGGUGAAAUACUUAGAUAUGUCAUAGAACACCGAUUGCGAAGGCAGCUAACGAAGCUGUAACUGACGCUGAGGCUCGAAAGUGCGGGGAUCAAACAGG
rnacentral:rRNA from 1 species